rnacentral:tRNA from 1 species
GAGAGCAUAGUUCAAUGGUAAAACAUCUCCUUGCCAAUGACAAGAUACGAGUUUAACUCUCGUCGUUGUGA